UGGGGAAUAUUGCACAAUGGGCGCAAGCCUGAUGCAGCCAUGCCGCGUGUGUGAAGAAGGCCUUCGGGUUGUAAAGCACUUUCAGCGAGGAGGAAGGUGGUGAGCUUAAUACGCUCAUCAAUUGACGUUACUCGCAGAAGAAGCACCGGCUAACUCCGUGCCAGCAGCCGCGGUAAUACGGAGGGUGCAAGCGUUAAUCGGAAUUACUGGGCGUAAAGCGCACGCAGGCGGUUUGUUAAGUCAGAUGUGAAAUCCCCGGGCUCAACCUGGGAACUGCAUUUGAAACUGGCAAGCUAGAGUCUCGUAGAGGGGGGUAGAAUUCCAGGUGUAGCGGUGAAAUGCGUAGAGAUCUGGAGGAAUACCGGUGGCGAAGGCGGCCCCCUGGACGAAGACUGACGCUCAGGUGCGAAAGCGUGGGGCAGCAAACAGGAUUAGAUACCCUGGUAGUCCACGCUGUAAAACGAUGUCGAUUUUGGAGGUUGUGCCCUUGAGGCGUGGCUUCCGGAGCUAACGCGUUAAAUCGACCGCCUGGGGAGUACGGCCGCAAGGUU
rnacentral:rRNA from 1 species